rnacentral:rRNA from 1 species
AUUGAACGCUGGCGGCAGGCUUAACACAUGCAAGUCGAGCGAGCGGCGGACGGGUGAGUAAUGUCUGGGAAACUGCCUGAUGGAGGGGGAUAACUACUGGAAACGGUAGCUAAUACCGCAUACCAUCAGAUGUGCCCAGAGGGGCUUAGCUAGUAGGUGGGGUAAUGGCUCACCUAGGCGACGCUCCCUAGCUGGACUGAGAGGAUGACCAGCCACACGGGAACGGAAAAACGGUCCAGACUCCUACGGGAGGCAGCAGUGGGGAAUGUUGCACAAUGGGCGCAAGUCUGAUGCAGCAAUGCCGCGUGUGUGAAGAAGGCCUUCGGGUUGUAAAGCACUUUCAGCGAGGAGGCGUUACUCGCAGAAGAAGCACCGGCUAACUCCGUGCCAGCAGCCGCGGUAAUUC